rnacentral:rRNA from 1 species
UUGGAGGGCAAGUCUGGUGCCAGCAGCCGCGGUAAUUCCAGCUCCAAUAGCGUAUAUUAAAGUUGUUGCAGUUAAAAAGCUCGUAGUUGAAUUUCGGGAUCAAAUUGUCGGUCGUGCCUCGGUACGCACUGGUAUUAUUGGUUCCUACCUUCUGAAGAACCGCGAUGUCAUUAAUUUGGUGUCGUGGGGAAUCAGGACUGUUACUUUGAAAAAAUUAGAGUGUUUAAAGCAGGCUUACGCUUGAAUACAUUAGCAUGGAAUAAUGAAAUAGGACGUUUGAUUCUAUUUUGUUGGUUUCUAGGAUUGACGUAAUGAUUAAUAGGGAUAGUUGGGGGCAUUAGUAUUCAAUUGUCAGAGGUGAAAUUCUUGGAUUUAUUGAAGACUAACUACUGCGAAAGCAUUUGCCAAGGAUGUUUUCAUUAAUCAAGAACGAAAGUUAGGGGUUCGAAGACGAUCAGAUACCGUCGUAGUCUUAACCAUAAACUAUGCCGACUAGGGAUCGGAUGAUGUUAAUUUUUUAAUGACUCAUUCGGCGCCUUACGGGAAAC